AUUCUUUUAUUCUGAAAAUAGACACAAAAGUAACACAAUUCCGUUAAAAAACGCGAAAAAGAGACAAACCGCACGGUCCCCAAGUUGAGCGUCAAUAAGAAGCCAGCAAACGCGGAAGUUCGCGUCAUUUAAGGUGGAACGGAUAGCGUCAAUAAGAAGCUGCGAAUAAGAAGCUGGAUUCAGCCUCCUUGUCUCAGCACGGCCCUGCACAGUCCAGUGCUCGGGGAUUUAUUUGUUGUCAUUUAUUUAUUACGCCUGCUGUAGCGGGUACGUAGAUAGCAUGUAGCCUGGAUUCCAACAUUCCAACGUCAUUACGUUCAGUCCGUUUUGUUGCUGCGCCAUAUUUUUUUUUUUUUUCCGCGGAACUCACUUCCUCAAAGUGAAACCGAAAGCAAUCACAUCAGAUGACGACGCCAUUUCGGGUGAUUCGAAUUCAACGUCUUCUUCACGUUAUGUCGCCGUCGUCUGUAGUUUUUGUGAGUGCUGGCGUCAUCUGAAGUCUUCAAAAGGCCUGAUACUGACUGUGAAACCCUAUUUUUGACACUGCUAACAACAGUCUCCUCAACUGACUCGACAGAAUCAUGUUUUGAGCCACCUGCCACAUCACUGUCUUCACGUGAGGUAUUCCAUUCAGCGUUUUCAACAACAGACAGCUCUGACGAAACCGAUGCCGUUUUUAAAUCAUUACCGUGUAUCUGGCUGCCCGUUGUUCUCUGCAUUAGCAGCGGCGGAAGCUAUGCUAUUUACAUUCACUCUGUUUUUAUUAGGACAAGUCUGCCGAACAUGCCCAAAAUCUCCACAUGUGAAACAUCUCAUUGUCUCAGAACUAAUAAAAAUCAUGUAAUCUUUACCGUCAGUGCUCAUCUUGACGGAGGAGUUCAGCGCUUCAGUCUGUAAAUUCAAAGUCAUAAUCACCUGUCGUCUAAACGACAUUACAUGUUUAAGCUCAGCAUUUUUACAGCCAAGUGGACUCAUUUUAAUGGGGCUCAUUAGUUUACCAUGUCUUUUAAGUAUUUCCUCUAAUUUUUCGCUUCUUACAAACUUUUUUGGUUGGACUUGAGGGGUAGAACAGGCACAAAUGUAUAAUUUAUUGUUAAACCAUUUUCAAUCAAAGUGUCCACCAUUUGAACUUCCUUUAGAAAAAACACAACAGGUUAUUCAUUCGAGAUGCCGAACUAAUGUUUGCCCCACCGAUCACAGCGCUUAAGGCUAAUAAGCAGUCUUCCACCGUAACAGUGGGGUCAGAUAUACAUUUACACCCAUUUCUAACAGACAUACUUGUAAAGUCUCCAGCAUUUAUCUCCAUUACUCGGAGAACGCUGACUAAUGUCAGCUAAACGCUUUACAACACUCACAAACAAAAUGCCUUUUAUCCGACUAAAAGCAUAUAAAGAUUUAAGAAAUAAGAAAAUAGAAACUCACUCAAGAUCGCUCUCAUUCACGCCAAACAACUCAGCAAUCCUCAAGCAUGCGCACGUGCACACACAGAGGUGGAGAGAGAGAGAGAGACAGAGAGAACACACAAGGCACAUACACAAAAGACACCUUAGUAGGGCCUGGGACGUAACAAUAUAUAACAAUUAUAAUAAUAUAUGUAAUAUACAGAUUCUACUACUAAUAAUAUAAUCUUAAGAUAACAGAAUCUAUAUUUUUAGUUUUAGGU